UCAGAAACGACAACUUCCGGGGACGCGGCAGCUUCAGCUCCAAUAUGGGCUACAGGAGGAAUGAGUUCAGGAACCGAGCUGAGUACUCUGGCCGUGGUUGGGGCCCAGGAUUCCGUGGCAGCGAUGGUUAUCAGCAGCGCACCUUUCAGAAUGGGGAUGGCAUGAUCGAGCAGCGCACCUUUCAGAAUGGGGAUGGGGAUGGCAUGAUCGUAGGCCGCUCGAGAGGAGGAGGACCCAAGAUAACUGCUGUUUCAGCAUAGUAGAUCGUUUGAUGAUUCUGCCUUUUCACAUUGAUGUCAAAUCGAUCUGUUUCUUGAUUUGGUAUCUGACCUAUAAUUGGGAAACCUUAUGGG
rnacentral:lncRNA from 1 species